AUGAUUGCUCACUACUGUUAUUCUGUUAUUUCAUUGGGCUUGUAAGAUGAUGAAUUUCAAUUCUAUAUUUUUGUAUUUUUUAGUGGGAACUACUCUGUAUAAAAGAACUUUCCUUUCGUAGUUUCCAUGAAAACUAUGUGAUGACUUCUGACACACAGAUCAAACCAGAAAGGAAAAGUGCAAGAAGCUGACAUGAAGCUGACCUGUAAUCUGAAACAGACAGAGUUGGUGUCAGCUGGCCUGCAGUCCUGUGAGCAAGAAAUCGAUGUACAUACUCAUGAGUAAAACAAAAACAUUUGCUGUUAUAACCCAGGAAGAUUUGGGAGUGGAUUUUUAUGUGGUGUCAUUGCAGCAAUUGUUGAUGAAUCUCUGCUAAGUUGGAAGUCUCAAAUCUAUCAACCAAUAAAUCGUUUCUCAGGUUUUACUUUAGGGACCAAUUAAAACUGUCAACAUGUUUUCUUCCAUUACAUUGGGAGUUUUAUCUCCAGCUGUUGGGAUCUGAGCUUCUAAAAGUAUGACGUAUGACUACCCGGGGAGAAGGCACUU